rnacentral:rRNA from 1 species
GACAGAGGAGGCGAGCGUUAUCCGGAGUCACUGGGCGUAAAGCGCGCGCAGGCGGCAACCUUAGUGUCGUGUGAAAGCCCCCGGCUCAACAGGGGGAGGCCAUGGCAAACUGGGUCGCUCGAGCUGCGGAGAGGCUCCUCGAAUUGCCGGUGUAGCGGUGAAAUGCGUAGAGAUCGGCAGGAAGACCAAGGGGGAAGCCAGGGGGCUGGCCGCAGGCUGACGCUGAGGCGCGACAGCGUGGGGAGCAAACCGG